UUGAGAAAGAUUCUAACAACCUUAAUGAUUUCUGCUGACGUGUUGCUCAUAAGAGAACUUUCCAAAUAAUUGUUAUAAUUUGAUAGGUUGAUGGUUUUUAAUUAUUUAUUUAUUUAAUUAAAGGUUUAAAAAGGAAACUAACUCUAGAAUUACCUAAUCUAAUAUAUGUUUCCAAACAUAAAAUUAAACAUCUUAAAUAUAGAUGAAUUAAUAUAAUUUAUUUAUAUAAACACUUAAAUAUCAUAUAUUACAUUAUAUAAAAUAAUCAUAUACAUUUAAAUACAUAUGAUACUACGGAAACAAUUAUAAAAACAGUUUUUAAUAUAUUUAUAUUAGUAGUGAAUAUAAUAAAUCAUAGAUUCUAGAAAACUAAUUAAUGUAAAUCUAAUAAUAUUAAUUAAACUCACUCAUUCACUAUAUAUAUUCUAAAAUGAUUCAAAUAAAUGCAAAACUGUCAAAUAUAUAAUUUUUAAAAAUUAUGUCAUUUUCUAAUGAAAUGUGAUACAUAGAUAAGUUAUCACUUUUAGAAAUGA
rnacentral:lncRNA from 1 species